ensembl:lncRNA
UUUCUCAGUCAUCCACCAAGGCCUGAGCUACAUGAGACCACACGGAGACAUAAUUGAUCUCCCGUCCUGGAAUCCUGCAUUGUGGUCAGAAGCAGUUUCGUCUCACCUCUCAGUGGGGACCUGGAGAACGGAUCACUGGAGGCGCAGUAUGUCCCCAAGCGCGUUGGAGACCUCCAUCGCCCUCCGCUCCGCCGUGGCUGGAGCACCCCGGGAGGAGACAAACUGCUGCGGGCUCCUUCCAAAGAGCUGCGGAGCAAACCAGCCGCACAGAGACGCCGCCAGCCUGCAGAGACCACAACCACCCCGCCAGCCCCGGGUUCCCUAACACACGGCCUGGCCGCCCGUUUCCGGGAUGUGUUUUGGUGUCUCCACACCACAUGGUUUCCGAGUUAAAUUGGUUCGAGGGUGCUCUGAUUACGAAUUGCGUUGCGGUCGCCCAGUGGUGCAACGUUUAUCUGCUUUAUUAAAAUCUGGUCCGUUCCUGUGCUUUGGCAACUUGUGGUUCCUAAUUUUCCUUUAUUAACAAAGGAUUCCCACUCUACCCACCCAUUCCCAAAUAAACCAGAGAUAGCAGGUGGAGGUUGUCCACAGGUGCCCCCCACCCCUAAUAAAAAUUGGCUUUGUUGUUUUCGUUACCAGAGGCCAAUCAUAAAUAACCAUAACCGUGACAGGCAAGGUAAGGCUGUUUUGUACAUAAGCCGGGGUGCUGGGUGGGAUUCGGGGAUUUCUGAGUAGGAUGGAGGAAUGUGCUUUGUCUGCAGACGGUUCCACAAGUAAACUUAAUUAAUUAGGAAAGGCUGUUAAAAGCCUGGGUCGUCCCUGGGUGGGCUCGAACCACCAACCUUUCGGUUAACAGCCGAACGCGCUAACCGAUUGCGCCACAGAGACGGUGCAGUGUAUCAUGCGGCGUCUCCUUGGUGAGCCAAGAGUCACCACGGCGGAUACACCUGGGGCAACCAGAGGCGGCGACCGUGCAGCCAGAGCCGGAGUCCUCGAAGCCAACGGAACCCGCGCUUCCGCGCCCGCAGCCAAAGUUCGUACGGACGUUACGAACCACGCAAGAGCCGCCCGCGCAUCCGGGACCCCGCCGCCGCCACAUGGGGUUCGGGGACUCCGCGCGGGCAGGAUCGGGGUCGGUCCGAGCGCUCCGCAGGCUCACUCCGCUUAGCAGGAAAUGUUUCCCUGGUGCGUGCUAAGGUAGGCACAACGAAACAGAUUACUAAAAACGCUUUUAGGCUUUUAAGAUAGCCGUUUCUAGGGCUGGCUCGCGCAGGAAAUGGAGGGAAAGAACGAGAACCUGAAUUCAAAAGCAUCUGACUUUUGUUACAGGAAAUGCCAGGGGAGAGCGCGAACGCAGUCCCCCACUACCACAAAUUAUGCAGUCGAGUUUCCCGCAUUUGGGGAAAUCGCAGGGGUCAGCACACCCCAAGUGCAAUGGGUGGGCCUCGCCCUGGGAAAACCACCUACUUGAUCAUGGUAUCUCCCCUGCCAGGUAAGUAUGCUUUCCACACGCGCAGGCCCGACCCAGCCACACCGGCCCUGCGCUCUCAACACACGGUCACUUCGCCGCGCGCGCUCCGGGGCCUCCGCCGACGCGCACCCCGCUCCUGCGCUACGCUCACGCCCGCCCACCCGCGAUCCCCCCAGGCCGCGCGCGAAAUCCCUCGAGUUCUCGCCUCAGUGAGGACGCGGCAGCCCCUGCGCGACCCUCAUCUGCAUAGACCACGCCCCCGAGUCGCACCCAAGGGUGACAUCACACCCCUCCCUUGGUCCGGUCGGUUUGUUGGACUUUCUUGCUCUAGGAGAGCUGGAUGGAGCGUUGCAGGGCCGGACACAAAUCGCCCUGAGUUAUCUCAAAGCCCUAAAGAGCCGUUGGUCACCCACCCCGAUGGCCUGACAGCCUUGUCACCGGCGUUGCUGUGAACCAGGUCGUCAGGCAGCACCGGAGCCAGCCCUGAGCACUCAGAGAGAGGUCUCCCCGCUUCGCUAGAACCUCACUGCCUCACGUCGCCACCACUGGAUUUUACAGGGCUCUUGUGUAUGAUUUUCUUUUCUCUUCUACAGAAUGAUCACGCAACUGACACUUUAAGUCGGGACGUGGUAUUUGGGGUGACCCAAGUCUGUGUUCCUGGUUCAGGGGGAUCACUGUCCCCUCUCUGGACCUCCUUGGGUUCCUGCAUGUAAGUCGUGCACACACACACACACUCAGGCACAAACACAUGUACACAAAAUAAGUAAGUACUCUCUUUUCCGUGUUGUGUCCGUGGGGGAGGGGCAGGCUGUGCGCCACGACUCCAGUGUGGAGGCCAGCGGACACUUUGUGACAGCCAGAUCUCUUUCCGCCUUGCCUAGUACGUGGAUCAAGCUCGUGGAUUGUGGAGCCUGAUGGAUGGCAACUGCCCUUGCCCUUCCUGGCCUAUAAACCAUCUCUCUGGCCCUUUGAAAGAUCCCUCUCCUCUCCCUGUCCCUCUCCCCGUCUCUACCCCAUCUCUCCCUCUGCCUCUCUUCAUCCCUCUUCAUCGCCCUCCCCACCACCACCCCAACACAGGGUCUACCCUGUCUACAAAAAGCACUUUGAAUAAGCUUUCUGCCACCACACCCGGCUACCUUAAAACCUCUUUAACCCACUCACAGACACAACACUGCGUUGUAAGGUUUACAGAUGAUCCUAAUGUUUUGCCAUUACAUCAGAAAUUUAAGUGCUCUCCUUGGAACAAGAAUUUAUCUGGAGCUUCAGGCGCAAAGAAGGUUAAAGUGACUGAGGUAAAAUACAAAUGAUGAAUGUGCAUGCAUGCGUAUCACAAAGGUAAAUAGAUGACUCAAUUAUAAAGACAAAAAAAAAAAAGAUAAAAACAAAAACUCUGCUCUCAUUGUCUCAAGGCUCAAAAGGGAAAGAUCCAACAAAUUGGUUAGUGCAGUUUUGUUGGUCAGAAGAAAGUGUCUGCAGGAUUCUUAACAUGUUUGCCCGUAUUUAUAAUUGUUAGAUGCCUAAGAUACUAAAUACACAUUUCCAGUGUUUUGGAUACAGCUACCUGGAGUUUUGUUGGGAAUAUAGCUGUUUUAUAAAGAAAACAGUGUUUUCUCCAUGAUUCUCUCAGUACGUGUUUUCUUUAUUGCUUUGAUGUCCAAGUUCAGGUCUUGAACAGUUUUAUUCAUUUCCUUCACCAGUUUGAUACCCCACCCCCACCCCGGUUUCCUUUGAAUGAUUCAUUCAUUUCUCCUUAAGGACUUAUAUCAUCUUCAUAAAGUUGGUGUUCGGGUCUUUUUCUUGUGUUUCAAGUGUGUCAGGGUGUUCAGGGCUUGCUGUAGAUGGAUAGCUGGAUAGCUGGAUAGCUGGAUAGCUGGAUAGGGAAGUGAUCAGCAUAGGCACUGCCCCCCACCCCCAGACCACCUUCUCAGCACAAAGGAGAUGCAUUUGCCCCAGAGGGACAGGAGCAGGGAAUCAGAGACAAAGAUGAGAUGGAAGACUAAGAAAAAAGAAAAGGGUACAAGGUAGAGGGGGAAAUGAUAUUUGUGCCAGACAGACAAAGGACUGCCUCUGGAUAGAGGGGAGACAGAGGGACCUGGCCCAGAGGCAGAUGGCAGUUUA